GCCCCAAAUCCGAUAGGUAAUUCGUUUGCUUCACUCUGAGCUUACGGAAUCGGAAAUUCUUACAAAUCCGCUAUGGUCGACCGUGAACGAGACAGAGAUAGAGGCCGCGACAGAGAUAAAGAUCGGGACCGUGAUAGAUACAAAGACCGGGAGCGAGACCGUGACCAUCGGGAACGUGACCGGCGUAGGGAUCGAGAAGAUCGUGACCACCGUGAACGUGAUCGGGACCGGGAACGCCGUAGGGAUCAGGACGAUCGUGACCGUGAAAGGGAGCGUGGCCGGAGUAAAAGGUCACUCACUCCCGACCGCUCAAGAUCCCGCCGCUCUCGCACCCGCUCGCCGGACCGGCACCGGUCGCGGUCUCUUUCUCGUACUCCCGAGGACCGGCCAUCUCGCCGCCGCCAUCGUUCUCCUUCCCCAGAUCAUGCUCGGAAGCGUCAUCGCCGGGAUUUGACUGCGGAUGACGAAAAGGAGCGGCAGAAAGCAGUUUCUGACUUUGUUGAUGGCAUUGCGAAAGAGCAGCACAAGCAGAAGAAUAAUAAAGACAACGUUGGUGGCGGAGAAGUAGUGGAGGAGGCCAUGGCUGAUGAAGAUGAAAUGGAGAUGAUGAAGAAAUUAGGUAUUCCCGUGGGUUUCGAUUCGACCAAGGGCAAACCUGUCCCAGGUGCUGAUGUGAGUGGCGUUAGGGUAGUUACCAAGAGGCAGCCUAGGCAGUACAUGAAUCGUCGUGGAGGGUUCAACAGGCCGUUGCCGGCCGAGCGCAGCCGGUAGCUAAUAUAUUUGGCUAGGUCACUGAGUGUAGCAACCAAGACUGACAUUCUUCCUGAGAUAUCAUUGAGCGGUGGGAGAUAAAUGCAGACCAGGCUAUUGCAAUGUGCUCGCAUAUUCUGGAUUUUGGUUUGCUUGACUUUGCUGGAGAGGCCAGAUGGAAGUCUUUGGGCACAGUAUUGUUUGUAUGUAAUAUAUAUUCAUGAAACCUUAGAAUUCGAGUCGAGUUGAGUUAAUUGAUACUCGAAGAACGAGGGAUAUUUUUGGCUAUUGUAGAAAUUGGAGAAUUUUCUAUGUUGCUUAUUUGUUUUCAGUAAAAAAUGGAUAGUGCUUAGAUCAAUUGAAUUGGAUUUGGUUCCUCCAAA